rnacentral:rRNA from 1 species
AUUGAACGCUGGCGGCAUGCUUUACACAUGCAAGUCGAACGGUAACAGGCCUUCGGGUGCUGACGAGUGGCGAACGGGUGAGUAAUGCAUCGGAACGUGCCCAGAGGUGGGGGAUAACGCAGCGAAAGCUGUGCUAAUACCGCAUGUGAUCUGAGGAUGAAAGCGGGGGACCAAGCAGCAAUGUUUGGCCUCGCGCCUCUGGAGCGGCCGAUGUCAGAUUAGGUAGUUGGUGGGGUAAAGGCCUACCAAGCCGACGAUCUGUAGCUGGUCUGAGAGGACGACCAGCCACACUGGGACUGAGACACGGCCCAGACUCCUACGGGAGGCAGCAGUGGGGAAUUUUGGACAAUGGGCGCAAGCCUGAUCCAGCAAUGCCGCGUGAGGGAAGAAGGCCUUCGGGUUGUAGACCGCUUUUGUACGGAACGAAAAGGCUCUGGCUAAUACCUGGGGCUGAUGACGGUACCGUAAGAAUAAGCACCGGCUAACUACGUG